AGAGACAGCAGUAGCCACGGUAAUACGGAGGGGGCUAGCGUUGUUCGGAAUUACUGGGCGUAAAGCGCACGUAGGCGGCUUGGUAAGUUAGAGGUGAAAGCCUGGAGCUCAACUCCAGAAUUGCCUUUAAGACUGCCGAGCUAGCAGGUGAGAGAGGUAAGUGGAAUUCCGAGUGUAGAGGUGAAAUUCGUAGAUAUUCGGAAGAACACCAGUGGCGAAGGCGGCUUACUGGCUCAUACUGGACGCUGAGGUGCGAAAGCGUGGGGAGCAAACAGGAUUAGAUACCCCCGUAGUCCCUGUCUCUUAUAC
rnacentral:rRNA from 1 species